CUUCCAUAGCCUGUCUAAUGACUUCUCUGCUAGCAUCACAGACAUAUCACUAACUUUAUCAGUCCUCCAGGCCCAAGUUGACUCUUUAGCUGCAGUUGUCCUCCAAAACCGCUGAGGCCUUGACUUACUCACUGCUGAAAAAGGAGGACUCUGCAUAUUCUUAAAUGAGGAGUGUUGUUUUUACCUAAAUCAAUCUGGCCUGGUGUAUGACAACAUAAAAAAACUCAAGGAUAGAGCCCAAAAACUCGCCAGCCAAGCAAGUAACUACGCUGAACCCCCUUGGGCGCUCUCUAAUUGGAUGUCCUGGGUCCUCCCAAUUCUUAGUCCUUUAAUACCCAUUGUUCUCCUUCUUUUAUUCGGACCUUGUAUCUUCCGUUUAGUUUCUCAAUUCAUCCAAAACCGUAUCCAGGCCAUCACCAAUCAUUCUGUACGACAAAUGUUUCUUCUAACAUCCCCACAAUAUCACCAGGAUCCUCCCCACUGGGUUCACUGUUCCAGAAUGAAGCUGUGUCCAUCAGACAGCCAGCCUAAUCCCUCCU
rnacentral:lncRNA from 1 species